UUGUCCUGCUAUGGGCAUCGCAGCGUAGCUACGUAUGGAUGUGAUAAACGCUGAAAGCAUCUAAGCGUGAAGCCAACUCCAAGAUGAACUUUCCCUGAAGGUCGCAGGAAGACUACCUGCUUGAUAGGGUAGGGGUGUAAGCAUAGUAAUAUGUUUAGCUGACUACUACUAAUAGACCGUUUGGCUUAAUAUAAA
rnacentral:rRNA from 1 species